GCCAGGCAUGGUGGCUCAUGCCUGUAAUCCCAGUACUUUGGGAGGCCGAGGUGGGUGGAUCACCUGAGGUCAGGGGUUCAAGGCCAGCCUGGCCGACAUGGUGAAAACCUACCUCUA
ensembl:misc_RNA Metazoa_SRP Metazoan signal recognition particle RNA